GAAAUGCGAUAAGUAAUGUGAAUUGCAAAAUCCAGUGAAUCAUCGAAUCUUUGAACGCACAUUGCGCCCGCCAGCAUUCUGGCGGGCAUGCCUGUUCGAGCGUCAUUUCAACCCUCGACCUCCCCUUGGGGAGGUCGGCGUUGGGGACCGGCAGCACACCGCCGGCCCUGAAAUGGAGUGGCGGCCCGUCCGCGGCGACCUCUGCGUAGUAAUACAGCUCGCACCGGAACCCCGACGCGGCCACGCCGUAAAACACCCAACUUCUGAACGUUGACCUCGAAUCAGGUAGGACUACCCGCUGAACUUAAGC
rnacentral:misc_RNA from 1 species